UUUUUUUUGCCCCCAAAAUGUUGCUGCUUCUCUGCCAUUGUCAGAAAGACGAUGAAUUGGGAAAGUAAAACUAAGGGUGCUCAAGAACACUGGGACAAGCUAAAGAAUAAACCCCUACCUUUCCUAUUUGUUUAAUUAUAUCACAGAGGCACUUCAUUCCAUUUUCCAAGUUUAUUUUACCUUCACAAAAGGUCACAAUGAGAAAUCUUGCUGAAAACAUUAAAAAAAACCCCAAGAAGAGCCAAUACAGAGCCAAGAAUAUAUAUGGCCAGCAUAGAGGCAGUAAGAAGUGUCUUCCCUGGCCAGUGUUUAGACUUCUGAGUAUAUUAAAUCCCACAGCAAACUGCUUACAAGGCAGAGAGAGUCUCACACUUUAAAGAAGUUAUCCUAUUAAUCCAAUCCAAUGCUUUCACCUUUCCUUGGCUGAAUCUCCAGUUCACCUCAAUUAAGAAUCUGCACAUUUCCUGAAGCAACAGAGGAAAACUCACUCCUUUUAAGCACAUUUCACAGAGAUACCUAUGGGAAAAAUUAUCAGUAACACAAGAAUGAACAUUGAGAGGAUCAAAGAAGGCAAAAAUACAUUGAAAGUACUAAUUAUGUCUCACACUAUCUCUGCUCCCACUCUACAUGAAGGGGAAGUGAAGGUAUAGAGAUGCCAGAUGCAGAAAACACAGUCACAGAGAAGCUGGAAGAUUAAAGCUAGAACUACAGAGGAAUACGUUCUAGUGAACAAGGACAACCCUUUGCACUUCAUUUUCCCUUACAGUUAUUUCACCCACUUGCAAGAUUCUAUGAUGCACAAAAGAAAAAAAGCAAAGACAGGAUAACUCCUCUUGAAGAAAUAUUCAGCAAUAAAGCCAUGUCCAUGAAUCAUACAAUUAAUCCUCCAGCUCUAUUCAAGCUUGCCAAGACUUCCUCCAGAGAAGGCUUCAAGAAAGACCAAGCAGAAAGAGCUCAGAGAGAGACUAAGAGGUCUAGAAACCACAAGCAGGUGGUUUCCUACUGUAAAGUAGGAUGAGAGUCUAAAGAAACCAAGAAGAGAUGAUUAUAAAUGCUUAAAAAGGUGCUGAAGAGUCAAUUCUUCACCAUAAUGGCUAAUACACAUUUUAACUAACAGAACCUCUCUCCUUCUGUGACUUGAAAUCAGUUACUGGACUGGAUUGCCUGGAGAGGUCAUGGAGCCACCUCAGUUAAAGUCCACCAGGUAGAUCAUUAUCCAGUCUCACUAAGCCUGGCUUGGAGCACAGAAGCUGGUGACUAGCUUACCCAGGUCCCACUGUCCCACUUCUUAGGAUUGUCUCUUCAAGUGCUUUUGCAUCACACAGCUGUGGAGGCAAUAACUCCUGCUCCACAGCUGCUGUAAUUUCACAGAGCCCUACUGAAACCAGCAUAUUAGACUUGGAAUAAUCCCCUCUAAGUAUUUAGUAAGGUGAUUAACAGAAAUGUCAUUAUUCUGUCAGGAUUUCAUUUUGAAGCCCUGUACUAUUUCUGUUAUCUGUAAGACACUGUGAGGAAGCUGAUGCAAUGGCUGUACUGUGAGAGAUUUAUAACCUUUCAUGUGAACGGCAACUCAAACCUCACUUUUGCCUGGAGCUGAUUUGGUCAUAAGGGUUGACUCCAAGCAGCUUUCACCAGAAAGCCAAACCAAGGCAGCAUCCAGAGCUUUGAAUCUAUUAUUGCAGCCACAAAACACAUGUGGCUGCAGUAAUAGUGAGUUUUAACUAGUUAAGUUUUAACCAGUUGAAGCCACAGGCUAGAUUCUUAUUUGAAAUCAGUAUCAAUUCACUGCAAGCAAGCAAGCCCAGC
rnacentral:lncRNA from 1 species